rnacentral:rRNA from 1 species
UGGGGAAUAUUGGACAAUGGGCGAAAGCCUGAUCCAGCCAUGCCGCGUGUGUGAAGAAGGUCUUCGGAUUGUAAAGCACUUUAAGUUGGGAGGAAGGGCAGUUACCUAAUACGUGAUUGUUUUGACGUUACCGACAGAAUAAGCACCGGCUAACUCUGUGCCAGCAGCCGCGGUAAUACAGAGGGUGCAAGCGUUAAUCGGAAUUACUGGGCGUAAAGCGCGCGUAGGUGGUUAGUUAAGUUGGAUGUGAAAUCCCCGGGCUCAACCUGGGAACUGCAUUCAAAACUGACUGACUAGAGUAUGGUAGAGGGUGGUGGAAUUUCCUGUGUAGCGGUGAAAUGCGUAGAUAUAGGAAGGAACACCAGUGGCGAAGGCGACCACUGGACUGAUACUGACACUGAGGUGCGAAGCGUGGGGAGCAAACAGGAUUAGAUACCCUGGUAGUCCACGCCGUAAACCGAUGUCAACUAGCCGUUGGGAGCCUUGAGCUCUUAGUGGCGCAGCUAACGCAUUAAGUUGACCGCCUGGGGAGUACGGCCGCAAGG